UGGGGAAUAUUGCACAAUGGGCGCAAGCCUGAUGCAGCCAUGCCGCGUGUGUGAAGAAGGCCUUCGGGUUGUAAAGCACUUUCAGCGAGGAGGAAGGUGGUGAACUUAAUACGUUCAUCAAUUGACGUUACUCGCAGAAGAAGCACCGGCUAACUCCGUGCCAGCAGCCGCGGUAAUACGGAGGGUGCAAGCGUUAAUCGGAAUUACUGGGCGUAAAGCGCACGCAGGCGGUUUGUUAAGUCAGAUGUGAAAUCCCCGGGCUCAACCUGGGAACUGCAUUUGAAAACUGGCAAGCUAGAGUCUCGUAGAGGGGGGUAGAAUUCCAGGUGUAGCGGUGAAAUGCGUAGAGAUCUGGAGGAAUACCGGUGGCGAAAGGCGGCCCCCUGGACGAAGACUGACGCUCAGGUGCGAAAAGCGUGGGGAGCAAAACAGGAUUAGAUACCCUGGUAGUCCACGCUGUAAAACGAUGUCGAUUUUGGAGGUUGUGCCCUUGAGGCGU
rnacentral:rRNA from 1 species